GGCCCCUUGGUGCUUCAGCGCCAUCAAAUGCUUUAAGUUUAAACCUAGCGGUUGGUUCCGUGCUCCCUGCGAUAGGUGAUGGUUAUUAUUGUCGGUUUUGGAGCAGGCUAAAGUGCCUUGAAGAGGCCAGCUGCCUCCCUUUUUUAAGUUGUUAUGCAUGCAAAUGCCCCUGAUAGGUUUGCUGCCUCUCAUAUUGCGCCACCCUCUCUAGUUGAAGGCGCAUUUACUCAAAUAUCAAUGGAAACUAUCCAUCAGACAAUCGAUCAUCCUCACCAUCACCCUUCAAUCUAACGUAUGUGAUUGAUCCUCUAUUCGAUAUUACCAUCCUAUCGACUGCCAAGAACCUACCCUGCCCUAUAUUUAUGAGGUUUACCACAAAUCCUUCGAAGAGAAUCGACUAAGACUACACGCCAGAUGGAAAAGGAACUAUUGGUUUCCAUGUUUUGAGGUUUAUAAGGCAGGAUAUUUUGGAAUGUUUUCAGGGAGGAUAGGGGCAAGAAGAUAUAUGAAGAAGAUGAUGAUAGUUGAAGAAGUAGGGGGAUAAGGAAUGGUUUCAAUGAAGGAAUGGGAGUGGGAAUGGGGUUUGAUGGGAUAACCAGGCAAGAUUUGUAUAUAAUAUCCAGGACCGCUACAUGGUGUUUUGCGUUUUGGGUCUUUGUAGCCAGGGGGGUUGUUGGCAUCAGUAUUGUUCACACCAAUAUAAGCAGUGCCUGCGACCGCUAGAUAGUUACAAUGACCCAUUAGGCAUCCCCUCUGAUAGGGGAGAACCAUUAGCCGAAACUUCGACCACAUGAGGUGACUGAGAUUGGGCUAUUUGACCCGUCUGAUCUGAGCAGCUUAGCUGCUGGCGAGUAGGGCUGACGCCGGCAGUGUCUUUUCGACAGGGAGUGUCGCGUCAAGGCCGGCCUUUUUAUAGCAUGGCUGUACUCCUCCAAAGCAUUAUUAAAGUAGCCUGAAUUGGCUCUACAGAAGAUAUCUUAUAUUCUAG
rnacentral:sRNA from 2 species